GGCGAACGGGUGAGUAACACGUGAGUAACCUGCCCUUGACUUUGGGAUAACUUCAGGAAACUGAGGCUAAUACCGGAUAGGAGCUCCUGCUGCAUGGUGGGGGUUGGAAAGUUUCGGCGGUUGGGGAUGGACUCGCGGCUUAUCAGCUUGUUGGUGGGGUAGUGGCUUACCAAGGCUUUGACGGGUAGCCGGCCUGAGAGGGUGACCGGCCACAUUGGGACUGAGAUACGGCCCAG
rnacentral:rRNA from 1 species